rnacentral:rRNA from 1 species
AGGACGAGCGCUGGCGGCGUGCUUAACACAUGCAAGUCGAGCGGAAAGGCCUUUCGGGGUACUCGAGCGGCGAACGGGUGAGGUAACACGUGAGUAAUCUGCCCAUCGCUUCAGGAUAGCCAUCGGAAACGGUGAUUAAUACUAGGAUAUGACAUUCCUUCGCAUGUUGGGUGUGGAAAGUUUUUCGGCGUGAUGUGCUCGCGGCCUAUCAGUCUUGUAGGUGGGGUAACUGGACCUACGAAGGUCUUUAGGACGGUAGCCGGACCUGGACGAGGGUCGACCGGCCG